AAAAUGCUGAGAUUACAGGUGUGAGCCACUGCACCUGGCUGUGGGUAGGUGUUUUUAAAGGCUCCUUUUUGUUUUGUGAGUCAGAAGAAAUCGACUGCAUAAAUCAAAUCCAAGAUAGUUGGUGAAGGGAAAUUAAGGGCUUACUGGAUUUUCUUGUGCACCAAGAAAGGAAAAGUGAUAAGAAUUUAGAGCAGAGAUACCUUUUUCCAAGAAUAGGGAUUUGUUCCACCUUGAACUGGGUUCACCAACAAGAAGGAACUGUGUGCAGGCAGCCUAUUUACACUGGGAGGGAUGGAGGAAAGUGUAGCAGGAAAUAGAGGAUGGGUGACAACAGUCUACCCCAAAAGUCACCUAACUCUUAGGAUGACUGAAGCUCCAUCCCAUGUGGAAGCAUGGGGACAAUGCCUCUGGGCUAUUCCAUUUGAGAGGAGAGAGCUGGGGUGUGUAUACUCGUACUUCUGUUCUCAUCUAUUGAUGGUCGCCUCGGUUAGUCUGUUGUGUCUUUGUAUAACAGAAUGUCCAAAACUGUAAUUGAUAAAGAGCAGACAAUUAUUCUCUCAUAUUUCUGGAGGAUGGGAAGUGUAAGAUCAAGGUACUAUCAGAUUAGGGUUCGGUUUAUCUACUUUCAAGAUGGCAUUAUGAAUCCUGAGUCCUCCAGAAGGAAGGAAGUCCAUGCCCUACAUGACAGAAGAGAAGAAAAGAGAGAGAGAGAAAGCUUGCUCCCACAAGUGGGAAAGAGCAGAGACUCACUCUCAGGAACCUGCAACCCCCACACUCCAAGAACGGAAAGAAUAGAAAAUCUUGAGUCUCUUCAAAGUAAAUUUCAAGCACCUACCUAGCCUUAAGAAGUAAGUAAGUAACAUGAUAAGCAAGGAAGUAAUAACCUAAAACAAUAGCUAAAUAAGUUAGACUCACAGAAUGGUGGCUUCCCCUAUAGAAACUGAAGAUGACAUUGUAAUAGAUGUCUCUGAGGUGUUUUUGAGAAAACAAGACCCCCUCCAAAUGAAUAGGCCAACACAUGGACCUCACAAAAGGGGGAACUGGGGACUGAGCUCUGACCAUGGUGCUUUGUUCUAAAUAUCUUACAGAGGGGCCUGGUAAAAGUCAUAUCCAUAAACCUGAGCUAAUGUUCUCUUCUGCUGAAUCCAAAUUUUUAAACAAAGCUUUUCUUCCUUAACCAAUUGCAAAUUUAGAACUCUUGUAAUCUACUCUUUAUCUGUAAGCCCCUGCUUCAAGAUGUCCUGCCCUUUUAGGCUAAAACCAAUAUGUGACCUCCAUGUAUUAAUUUUCAAUUUUAUCUGUAAUUUCUACUUUCCUGAAAUUUACUCCUACCUUAUAAAACCCUUACUUGCAAGCCAUCAGUGAGUCCAGGAUUUGAGUCUUAGCUGCCAGAUUCUCUUUACCUGAUGUCCUACAAACAAACAAACACUUACUUUCUCCUGCUGCAAACUCGGUGUGAAUAUCUGAUCUCACUGAACUGAGUGAGUGGACUGCAGUUCUAUUCCAUAGCACAAGCCCUGUUUAGAGUGGCAUUUAUCCAUUCAUGAGGGCAGAGACCUCAUGACUUAAACCCUUCCCAUUAGGUCCCACCUCCCAAUUCCAUUGCAUUGAGAUGAACUUAACAACAGAUGGGUUUUGAGGGACACAGGAAAAUCAUAACACUGUCCAAAGAGAGGCUCAUUUGAGCCCCUGUGGUCUGCUAUGCAUGCAGGCAGAGCUGCCUUCUCCAGCUUCAGAAAGAGCAGUGAGGGGCGAAGAUGGCCACUGGAAGUCAGCAGCAGUACAGUGAAAGGGAAAGGAUAGCGUGUAGACAGGGAUUGCAAUCUAGAUACAUUUCUAUUUAAUUUCCAUUCCAAAAAGAGAAUACUUUCGUGCUAACAGAAGUGUUGCAAGUACAUCACAAAGUGCUUUCUUCCAUUUAAGUGCAUACUGUAUUUUUUAAAAAUAAUCUCCAUGCACGAAUAAACUAUAUUUCUCCAUCUAGUCCUCAGGAAUAUUUCCAAUUUUGACAAUUAACUCAGAAAAGUCUUUUGUAACAAAACAGCCCCCAAGAAGAAACACUUAUUUACAGACAAAUCUGUGCUGCCCUGGUCUGACCUGGGACUCUGGGGAUACUGCCCCUGUGCUGAGUAACUGAGAUCUGCCAGCCGUGCAGCUGUGCCCAGCCUGCCCCAUCCCCUGCUGAUUUGCAUGUUCCCAGAGCACAGCCCCCUGCCCUGAAGACUUCUUAAUAGACUGGUCACAACCUGUGCAGGAGUCAGUCCCAGUCAGGACACAGCAUGGACAUGAGGGUCCCCACUCAGCUCCUGGGGCUCCUGCUGCUCUGGAUCCCAGGUGCCAGAUGUGACAUCCAGAUGACACAGUCUCCAUCCUCCCUCUCUGCAUCUGUAGGAGACAGAGUCACCAUCACUUGCCAGGCGAGUCAGGACAUUAGCAAUUAUUUAAAUUGGUAUCAGCAGAAACCAGGGAAAGCCCCUAAGCGCCUGAUCUAUUAUGCAUCCAGUUUGGCAACAGGGGUCCCAUCAAGGUUCAGUGGAAGUGGAUCUGGGACAGAUUAUACUCUCACCAUCAGCAGUCUACAGCCUGAAGAUAUUGCAACAUAUUACUGUCAACAGUAUGAUAAUUUCCCUCCCACAGUGUUACAAGUCAUAACAUAAAUCACCCAGGGGAGCAGAUGUGUGAGGCUCAGUGGUCCCAGAUGCCCCUUCUGGUGCCUCCACCUGCUGAGAGUGUUUCUCAAAUCGCAGUCACACUUUGAAGGUCACUGGAGAGUUUUUGUAAAAGAGCCAUGAAGGCCCACUUACUCAUAGCUGUCUUUCCUUGUCCUAAUCCCCGGUAGCGCAGACAGGGCAAUGCUUCUGAUUUCAUUGAGAAGAAAGGAUUACACCUGAGGAGUCUGAGUUGUGGCAUCAGUUGGAAUUCAUACAGCAAAAAUGAGCCACUCUAGGUAUUCCAAGUAGGAUUUUUUUUUAACACAAGGUGUGAGAAUCUAAACUAUAACCUUUUAAAGGCUUACGGGUAUAGUAGUCAAAGAUGUAAAUACUAGAAAAGAGGAAUUCUCUUCCAGAAUCCAGAAUGCAUCUGACAGAGAAGGUACAAUUGCCAAUCGUGUGGUCUUUAGACGUUUCUGAGAAGCCCAUGGGUGGGAGUGCAGAUGCUCUCAGCUGCCUGGAGGACUUCACCAGGUGCUUCUGCAGUCCUCACCUCUGUCCAAAUGUCUUGUAGCAGGUGCUGAUGGAUAAUAUUGAAUCUUCCCCUUCUUACUUCUCAAUCUCAGGGUGGGCCCCUCACUGGGCAACUCUACCAAAAACCAGAGAAGGGAAAUGGUUUCUGGCAAAUGUGCUUCCAGAAUGAUAGUGAUGAUGGGGAAGUGACAGGUGACAUCCUAGUGUGGGCACAUAUCCCGACUCUCAGAAUUUUGUCAGUGAAGUAAUGGCCUCAGAAUAUACUUGGAUGUACUUCCAUAUACUAUGAGUAAGUUUCAAAUCGUAGCAAGAAAAUGAUAUUUAGUCAUAUGAUAAAUAGAACUAUGUGGCUACAUUAAUCAAAACGGCAUAGUGCUGGUACAAAAAGAGACAAAGAAAAAUGGAACAGAAUAGGGCACUCAGAAAAAAUGCUGGAGACCUACAACCAUCUGAUCUUCAACAACCCUGAUGAAUACAAGCAAUGGGGAAAGUACUCCCUAUUUAAUAGAUA